rnacentral:lncRNA from 1 species
GAAACAAAAGGACAUGUCCUAUGGGGACAUCUAUUGCACCCUUUUGGAACCCUUCUUUCUAAGAGUGUAGGCCUACGUACAAGUGCUGCAUGCCCCUGUACCUCGCGCGGGUGGGUAUGUGUGUGUUGGUGUGUGUAUGGGUGUGCCACCGUAGUGUGUGUGUGUGUGUGUGUGUGUGUGUGUGUGUGUGUGUGUGUGUGUGUGUGUGUGUGUGUGUGUGUGUGUGUGUGUGUGUGUGUGUGUGUGUGUGUGUGUGUGUGUGUGUCUCCAGUACAUGACUAGGGCCGAGCUCCCUGCCAUCCAGGACCUCUAUAUAAGGCGUGUGAACGGAGCGCCUGUGAUAUUGAUAAAAACUUCAGCUAGGGUUAGGAGCUAGGGUUAGGGUAAGGGUUAGGGUUAGGGUUAGGGUUAGGGUAAGGGUUAGGGUAAGGAGCUAGGGUUAGGUUUAGGGUUAGGGUAAGGAGCUAGGGUUAGGUUUAGGGUUAGGGUAAGGAGCUAGGGUUAGGUUAAGGGUAAGGAGCUAGGGUUAGGUUUAGGGUUAGGGUAAGGAGCUAGGGUUAGGUUUAGGGUAAGGAGCUAGGGUUAGGUUUAGGGUUAGGGUAAGGAGCUAGGGUUAGGUUUAGGGUUAGGGUAAGGAGCUAGGGUUAGGUUUAGGGUUAGGAGCUAGGGUUAGGUUUAGGGUUAGGGUAAGGAGCUAGGGUUAGGUUUAGGGUUAGGGUUAGGAGCUAGGGUUAGGUUUAGGGUUAGGGUAAGGAGCUAGGGUUAGGGUUAGGGUUAGGGUUACCUUGUUGUGUGUCUAUCUGUGUGUGUGUGUGUGUGU